AAAGUGCUUUCUGUUUUGGGCGU
rnacentral:miRNA from 2 species